rnacentral:lncRNA from 1 species
CUGGCAGACGGGAGGAGGCAGGGGAGGAGGGGCGCGCGCGCCGGGUGGGGAGCCACGGAGGGCUUCGCCGCUGCCUCCCUCCCUCCCUCCGCAGCUUGACCCGGUAGUGAAGGCAGAGAGAGAGGCAGGCUGGGUCCGCCUGGCAGCCUACGGGAGGAGGCGGGAGCCGGGAAGGAGGGGAGCCUAGGCCCGGCGUGGGGAGGCCGGCAGGAAGGGCCUCGAGCCCAGUGCGGACCUUUCUUCAGCCUCUGUGCGACCGAGCCGCGCGCCAGGCUCCUGUGCGAGGAGGACGCGCUGACUCCCUCCGACCUGGGCUCCGAUGGAGCAGAAAUAGCGGGACCUGGACUUGUGGCGCGCCUGGUGCCACAUCUCGGGCUCUGCGAGCGUCCUGGCGCGGGAUCCUGCCGUGAGAAGGAGUUGGGGCGGGGGACCCGGCGGGGCAUUGCGGGAGAAGGCCUGGGAUCCCUGGGAGCCUUGUAGCGUGGGGGAGUUCACUGUGUAGAGAGGUUUCAUGUCUUCAUCUAUAUAGUCACUUAUUUGUCUUAAAGUUCUCGAAAUUCCCUCUUAGAGAAGGAGAAAGUUAGAGAACUGGAGGCUGCGUACCCUGAUUACGCAGAAGGGAAGCAGCCUCGCAUUCCCCGGGGCAGGCCCCCGCCCGCGCGUCCCGCCAGUAGGGGAAUUUAGCGGACGGCUGCGGUUGUCUGGUGAAAGGCUAUCCAAGGAUAAGGGGCUUCACUUUUCCCAAGUAGGGGAAAGAGAAGGGGUCUACAGGGCUAGGGGUGGAGGGAGCGGAUGCAGUGAGCAGCCUCCGCAGAGAAAUUGACAAUUUAACCAGGGACCUGCGGCAGAGACAAGGCGGAGACACUCCCUUGCCCAGGAAAGCCGCCAGAGUCCGGCUUGUACCUGGGGAAGAAUCCUUAAGACGGUCUGGCCCAACACUCCUUUGCUCACAGAGAAAGGGGAGAAGACUCCCGAGGGUGAAAAUGGUACAUUCGGAGCUGGAACUCAGCUCGCUGACCCCAAGCAGUGUUCCCUUCUUUUCGCCAGGUUUGCAUCCAAGAGAGGGGAGGACAGGGGCAAAAGGAUGCAGGGAGGCUGCUGAUUUCCACUGAAGAGCUAAUUUCCUGUGAGACAUUAACAGUGAUUUAAGAAAAAGAUUCCUGUAACUGUAAUGUCUUACAAUAACAGAAUGCAGGAGAGCACAUAUCAAUGAAGAAAAGACAAAAUGUACUUAUCCAUGAAGCUGAGGUUAAGAAACCAGUGUCUUCAAGAGCCAGGGACAGCACUGGGUCUGUGCAGAGUUGAGAGAUGGUGAUGACAUGUGACAGAGCUCCUUGCUGCUCAAAUUUUAUGCCAGAUAAAAUAUUCACCUUCUCGGACUCCCUGGCACCAGGCAUGGCCAUGUAAUCCUACAGCACAGCUGAUGAAAGAGAAGACAUCUUGCUGCUAUUUGACAAGCAAGAAGAUAAAAGCUUUCCUAUAAAGAUGAUGGAGCAAAAAAAUAGAAGGGGCCUAGACUCCCUACCUUCACACUUCCUGCUAUAAAAGCAUUGCUAUUAUAAGGUUAAUCUGCAGAAACAGACUUCUAUGUCAUAUGCUUAAAUGCAUCAAAAUUCAUACAAUAUCCAUUAAAUUGGUAAAAGUAUCCAUUUUAAAGGAUUAAUCUGAGGGACCCACAGACACUUAACACAAUCAAAUCUCAGAAAAAAAAUCAGUUAUUUCAUUGUGAUUUUGAGGCUGAUCUUUUAUGAUCUUUUAGUUAUCAAACUGUUAAAUACAUUUUAACUUUCAAAUUUUAUGAAUAAAGGAGAUGAAUCCUGUUAUUUUCUCAGUG